rnacentral:rRNA from 1 species
GACGAACCGUACGAACGUUAUUCGGAAUUACUGGGCUUAAAGGGUGCGUAGGCUGUGCGGAAAGUUGGGCGUGAAAUACCUCAGCUUAACUGAGGAACUGCGUUCAAAACUACCGUGCGUUGAGGGAGACAGAGGUAAGCGGAAGCUGAGGGUGGAGCGGUAGAAAUGCGUUGAUAUCCUCAGGAACACCGGUGGCGAAAGCGGCUUACUGGGUCUCUUCUGACGCUGAUGCACGAAAGCUAGGGUAGCAAACGGG